AGCAGCCGCGGUAAUUCCAGCUCCAAUAGCGUAUAUUAAAGUUGUUGCAGUUAAAAAGCUCGUAGUUGAAUUUCGGAAUCUGUCCGUUGGUCGGGCUUAACUGUCCGUACUGAUGUGAUGGGUUCUUACCUUCGGAAUAACCAGCAUGCCAUUAAUUUAGUGUGUUGGGGAAGCAGGACUAUUACCUUGAAAAAAUUAGAGUGCUCAAAGCAGGCUAGUGCCUGAAUACAUUAGCAUGGAAUAAUAAAAUAGGACGGCAUGGUUCUAUUUUGUUGGUUUCUAGGAUCACCGUAAUGAUUAAUAGGGAUAGUUGGGGGCAUUAGUAUUCAAUUGUCAGAGGUGAAAUUUUUGGAUUUAUUGAAGACUAACUUCUGCGAAAGCAUUUGCCAAGGAUGUUUUCAUUAAUCAAGAACGAAAGUUAGGGGAUCGAAGACGAUCAGAUACCGUCGUAGUCUUAACCAUAAACUAUGCCGACUAGGGAUCGGACGAUGUUAAUUUUAUAAUGACUUGUUCGGCGCCU
rnacentral:rRNA from 1 species